rnacentral:rRNA from 1 species
GCUCAAAGUUGGAACCUGGCUGUCUUAGAUAGUCCGGAUUGUAAACUAAAGAGCGUGAAUCCAGGCAAGCCGGUUGAUCAAGUCCUUUGGAAUGAGGCGCCACUGAGGGUGAGAGCCCCGUAAAUCGACUGAGCAUUUGUCUUUUGUGUUUCGCGUUCAAAGAGUCAGGUUGUUUGGGAAUGCAGCCUAAAGCUGGUGGUAAAUCCCACCUAAAGCUAAAUACAGGCGAGAGACCGAUAGCGAACAAGUACCGUGAGGGAAAGAUGAAAAGUACUUUGAAAAGAGAGUUAAACAGUAUGUGAAAUUGCCAAGAGGGAAGCAUUUGGAGUUAGACUGACUUGAAGUUAAUCAGCUUGGUCUUUGGACUGGGUGUACUUGACUUCUAUGUCUGCCAAUAGCAGUUAGUCCUGGUGGAAAAAACUGAAGGGAAGGUAGUCCUUCGGGAUGUUUAUAGACCUUUGGAAAAUACACUGGGAUUGACUGAGGAAUGCAGUAGAUGCUAUUAAGGCUUCGUCUAGUAGGUGUUAGGUGAAGGUACUUGGUAUUUUCAGCUUGCUGAUGUGCUAGGUUACUUGAGCUUAAUUGCUUGC